CUGCUCCCACACCCACACCCGCUGCGGCCCAGGGCCUCCCAGACAGGCCGGUUGGCCGGCUCAGCCGGGAGAGCCGGUGUCUGCACCAGGACCUGCCGGCGUUGGCCGCGGACAUGACGCCUGAGGACCAGGAGGAGACCCAGCCGCUCCUGCGGCCGCCGGGUGGCAGCGUCCCCCGCGGCCGCCGCGUCUUCCUCGCCGCCUUCGCCGCUGCCCUGGGCCCGCUCAGCUUCGGCUUCGCGCUCGGAUACAGCUCCCCGGCCAUCCCGAGCCUGCGCCGCGCCGCGCCCCCGGCCCCACGCCUCAGCGACGACGCCGCCUCCUGGUUCGGGGCCAUCGUGACCCUGGGCGCGGCGGCGGGCGGCGUGCUGGGGGGCUGGCUGGUGGACCGCGCCGGGCGCAAGCUGAGCCUCCUGAUCUGCACGGUGCCCUUCGUGGCCGGCUUUGCCGUCAUCACCGCCGCCCAGGAAGUGUGGAUGCUGCUCGGGGGCCGCCUCCUCACCGGCCUGGCCUGCGGCGUUGCCUCGCUAGUGGCCCCGGUCUACAUCUCUGAGAUUGCCUACCCUGAAGUGCGGGGGCUGCUGGGCUCCUGUGUGCAGCUGAUGGUUGUCACGGGCAUCCUCCUGGCCUAUCUGGCAGGCUGGAUCCUGGAGUGGCGCUGGCUGGCCGUGCUGGGCUGUGUGCCCCCCUCCUUCAUGCUGCUGCUCAUGUGCUGCAUGCCCGAGACCCCGCGCUUCCUGCUGACUCAGCACAGGCGCCAGGAAGCCCUGGCUGCCGUGCGGUUCCUGUGGGGCUCUGAGCAGGGCUGGGAAGAGCCCCCUGUCGGGGCUGAGCACCAGCAGGGCUUCCAGCUGGCCCAGCUGAGGCGGCCCGGCAUCUACAAGCCCUUCGCCGUCGGCAUCUCACUCAUGGUGUUCCAGCAGCUGUCGGGGAUCAACGCGGUCAUGUUCUACGCAGAGACUAUCUUUGAAGAGGCCAAGUUCAAGAACAGCAGCCUGGCCUCCGUCAUCGUGGGCGUCAUCCAGGUGCUGUUCACGGCCGGGGCGGCCCUGGUCAUGGACAGAGCCGGGCGGCGGCUGCUCCUGGCCUUGUCAGGUGUGGUCAUGGUGUUCAGCACCAGUGCCUUUGGCACCUACUUCAAGCUGACGCAGGGUAGCCCCAGCAACUCCUCACACGUCGACCUCUUGGCGCCCGUCUCCGUGGAGCCUGCCGACCCCAGUGUAGGGCUGGCCUGGCUGGCGGUGGGCAGCAUGUGCCUCUUCAUUGCUGGCUUCGCUGUGGGCUGGGGGCCCAUCCCCUGGCUCCUCAUGUCGGAGAUCUUCCCUCUGCACGUCAAGGGCGUGGCCACCGGCGUCUGUGUCCUCACCAACUGGCUCAUGGCCUUUCUGGUGACAAAAGAGUUCAGCAGCCUCAUGUUCCCUCAGCAACUCCUACCCAUACCACCUUCUGAUUGCUACCAGUACCCACUUAUAGGUACCAAGGACGGUGGACACACGUGCUCUUCAGAGGUCCCCUGAGACUGCCUUGGGGCCUUCCCAUCGGGGCACAAGAUGGGAAGAACCAGCCCCAGCUGGCAGUCCAGUAUCAGCCCAGCCCAGCACUGUCAGACACAGACCAUAGGGAAGAGGAGCAGGAUAAAGCAUUGCCACAGGACAGGUCCAGCAGAAGCUGUGCUCUACCCAGCCCACAUAAGACAGGUCUUUGUACUGGAUAACGGCAGAAAUCUGCAUUGCCUACCAAGAGUCACUCCAUCUCCAUCUCAUCCCGCUCCCCAUCCCCUCACCCCAACUCUUCCAGAAGAAUGCUGGCUUCUGGGAACCUAAGACAAGGCUUCUGGGUCCUAACGCCGCCCAGUGGCCGCAUGCGGAAUUGCAUCAAUUGAAGCCUGAAACACUGCUUCCUCCCAGGGGCCAUGGGUAAGAAACCCUCUGCUACCACCUAGUGGCCAGUGUGGGGUUAGCACCUGUUGGGCCUGUGGCUGCAGGCAGAACCGCACCAACUGGAAGGAGUCAAAAAUCAAUGAGUGUCGGCAGCCCUGGAAGCUGGAAGAGGCAAGGAAACAGAUUCUCCCCUAGAGCCUCUGGAAGGCAUGUAACCCUGCCAACACCUUGAUUUUACCCCAGUGAUAUCCAUCUCCGACUUCUGACCUCCAAAAUCGUAAGCCCCAAAUUUCAGAAGCCAAAAGUGGAAAUGGGCUUAUCUCAAAGGGAUCUGUGAGCGUGACUUGCCUAAUGGAGUUAAUCCAGUAAGAUUCAUACAGGACUCACUAAGAGGGUUAUAUUGGCAAAAACGCUACCAGCUGUGACUGAAAGGGGCCGAGACCGUACAACGUGAGAAGAGGCCUUAGGACCCCUACACUCAUUUCCGCUUCCCAGGUAACGCAUUCCCGUCUUAUUGUCAAAAUGCCUCUAAAAUUGAAUUGGGUUAUCGGAAAAUUGCUUGUGUGGUGAAGAAUUUUCAUCAAUGCUCUGCGGAAGUCCAUUGAAAUAUCCCCUGACGCAGCAGAGAAUCCUCCAAUGGACAGAAAGUUCAGGAAUCUUCUUUUGCAACAGUGCUGACCAAACACUAUCAAAGUGUGUUUUUGCCCCUGAAAUUACUGAAGCGGUUCCCUCCUGCCGAUUGAUUUUAUACUUUGAGAAUGCCAGGCCACCAACCGGUGGCAGCCCUGUUCACACUGAGAGGCUCAAGAGGUGUGUGAAGCUGUCGAGCUGGGCCUGAGUUGAAGGUCCGGGAAGGAGAAAACCCUCUUCACCUGCUGCUCUGGGAACGUGACCAAUUGAAAAAUCAGGAGCCGAGAACCAGCGUAGAGCUGUUGUCUGCGCUAAAACUACAACUCCCAUGAUCCUUAGCGCCAAGUCGCUUCCUGUCUCAGAGGCUCCCGGCGUUGGAUUCCGGUGGACGUGAAGAGUAUGUGCGACAUAGCAUGAUGGGAAAUAGAUUCUGGGAGCGAGAACUGGCGGAAGCCUCUCUAGGACGCACGAUCCAGGACCGUGUGCGGAUCACAAAGCUGGCACCGAGAGAACAGGCUUUGACUAGGAAGAGAGCGCGGAGAUUUCUAGGGAAUAGAAGCUAGAGGGGCUGGAAGGCAAGUGCGCAUGACCGGAAGUGAUGCUGUUUUCGCGCGUCCUCUUUGGCGCGAGAAGAAGACGUGACGUUUGGCAGGACCUGAAGCCGGUUUCUCAGUUGGAGCCUGUACCCGGUUACCUGCCUGCGGUAUUUUCCCGCGGUGUUUUGUUUGAGGCUGAGUCGUUGGCUGCGCCUCGGGCUCCCCAGCCGAGGCCUGGCUGUGACUGGGAGACAGUGAAAGACCCGGCUGGACAGCCCCCACCCGAGCUCCCGGAGCCCAGCACCGCAGGCUCAGACCCGGCCUCGGGAGAAGGCGGGGGAGAGGAAUCCGCGGGCCGAGCAGGGAAGCGACGCUGGCGCCCGGGGAACUGCCGGGAGGCGGUGUCGCGUGGUGAUACCCGAAUGCUGGAGGAAGAAUCAUGAUCUCCAGACCCUAACCUUUCCCAAGAGGAAAGCACAGGAGAGGAAGGAAUGGGAAUGGUGACUAGUCUCCUCACAGCAGGGCCACAUAAAACCUGGGACACAAAAUGGGUGAUACUUAGGAGGAAGAAUGAAUAGGCACUUGGAUUUGUGGUGAAGGAUACCACCAGGUUUCUGGGCGGCCAACUAAGUGAAUGGAGGGAUCCACGCCCUUCAGCAAUGUGACUGCAGCUUUUCCUCACAGAGUGGAGGCACUUGGUCCGAGCUCCAAGGGAAGGGUUUGAGGAGAUACCAGAAAAGUCCAGGAACCUGGUCCUACUGGGACUUCCAGUUUCCCAGCCUGGUAUGGACUCCCAGUGAGAACAAGGGAAAAGCCCAUGGAUGCUGGAGGGAGAAGGCCUAAGGAGUGCCGGUCCAGCUCCAGGCGCAACACAGCUUACCCGAGGUUCCCCGCAGCCUGCUUCAGCUUCCAGCUGCCCUUCCAAGGUGGUCCUGGCGUGGCUCACACCUGCUCCAACGGCAGCUCUGGGCUCUCAAGUGGCUUCACCUCUGGACUCCUCACAGCCUGAUUCCACUCACGUCUGCCAAGAUGGUCCCAGCACAGCUUGCCCCUGGGACUUGUGGCUCACACCCGCCACAACUAAAGCUCCAGGCCCCAUUGUGACUUUCCCUGGACUCCGCAGCCUGAGCCCCUCCAACUGGCCUGCCAAGGCACGUCAGAGCACCUGUCCUCAGGACGCCUGCAGCUCUUACACAGGCCGCUCCAGAGGGUGCUGUUUAGCCUCAUUCAUAGAAACAGCCAAACGAGACAGAGAAAUAUGUCCCAAAUGAAAGAACAGGACAAAAGCCCAGGAAAAGAAUUAAAUGAGAUGGAGACAAGUAAUCUACCAAAUAGAGUUCAAAACACUGGUUAUAAGGAUGUUUUAUAAGGAUGUUUAGUGGACCCAGGAGAAUAGAUUAACUCAGCGAGAAUCACAAAGAGACUGGAAGACUGUGUCUGAAUCACCACCAGAGCAAGACCUUUCUGAAGAAUCAUUCCAAAACACAAGAGUAGAGAUACCUCCUGGGGAAUCAGAUCAUAGGAGCUGUGGAGAGGGGAAGAGCUUUAAUCUGCGAGCAGUCCUUUCUCCACAACAGAGAGCUCCUAAAGAAGUGAGACCCCAUAAAUGUGAAAUACAAACAGAGCCUCAGGAGGAAUUCAGACAUAAUUUAAAUCUCACAGAGCAAAACCAUACACACGUAAUGAGUGUGGCAAAGCCUUCAGUUACUGUUCUUCCCUUUCACAGCAUCAGAAGAGCCGCACGGGGAGAAGCCUUAUGCGUGCAAUGCAUGUGGGAAGGCCUUCAGCCAGAGCUCCUCUCUUACUCAGCACCAAAGCAUUCACACUGGAGAGAAACCUUAUAAAUGCAGCGUGUGGAAGAGCCUUCAGCCAGAAUGCAAACCUCACAAAACACCAACGCACUCACCCUGGAGAAAAGCCCUACAAAUGCACCGAGUGUGAGAAAGCCUUCAGUGACUGUUCAGCCCUGUUCAGCAUCAGAGAAUUCACACUGGAGAGAAACCCUACGAAUGCAGCAACUGUGGGAAGGCCUUUGGUCACAGUGCCAACCUCACAAACCACCAGAGGACUCACACAGGGGAGAAGCCCUACAGGUGCUGUGAGUGUGGGAAGGCCUUCAGUUACUGUGCAGCGUUCAUACAGCGUCAGAGGAUCCAUACAGGAGAGAAACCUUACAAAUGCAACGCAUGUGGGAAGGCCUUCAGCCAGAGAGCAGACCUCACAAACCACCAGAGGACUCACACUGGAGAGAAACCCUACAAGUGCGAGUGUGGGAAGGCCUUCAGCCAAAGUACAAAUCUUAUAAUCCACCAAAAGACCCACACUGGGGAGAAACCAUAAAGCAUUUAACCGGAGUUCAUCCCCUAGUCAGCAUCAGAGAAUUCACACUGGUGUGAAAGCCUACCAAUGUAGGGAGUGUGGGAAGGCCUGCAGGUGUAGUUCAGCUUUCAUUAGACACCAGACUCCAUGCUAGGGAGUAACUGGCAACAUGACCAACGUGGAUGGGGACCUGAUGGUUUGAAAGCCUCUGGAAACUUUUGCACCUUUAAUAAAGUGAUUAUUUCAUGUGGAA